rnacentral:rRNA from 1 species
CAGCCGUAAACUAUGCGCGUUAGGUGUACUGGUGACCACGAGUCACCGGGGUGCCGAAGGGAAACCGUGAAACGUGCCGCCUGGGAAGUACGGUCGCAAGGCUGAAACUUAAGGAUUGGCGGGGGAGCACCACAACGGGUGGAGCCUGCGGUUUAAUUGGACUCAACGCCGGAAAUCUCACCGGAUAGGACAGACAUAUGAUAGUCGGGCUGAAGACUCUACUUGAUGAUCUGAGAGGUGGUGCAUGGCGUCAGUGACU